rnacentral:rRNA from 1 species
CCUAAUACAUGCAAGUCGAACGGGAAGCCUCGGACUUGUCUGGGGUGGAGAGUGGCGAACGGGUGAGUAACACGUAGGUGACCUGCCUCGAAGAUGGGGAUAACUGUUGGAAACGGCAGCUAAUACCCAAUGCACUCGGUAAUUCGGUUUAUCGAGUAAAGCGCCCCUCACGGGGAUAGCGCUUCGAGAUGGGCCUGCGGCCUAUCAGCUAGUUGGUAGGGUAAUGGCCUACCAAGGCGAGGACGGGUAGGGGGCGUGAGAGCGUGACCCCCCACACUGGCACUGAGACACGGGCCAGACUCCUACGGGAGGCAGCAGUCGGGGAUAUUGCGCAAUGGACGAAAGUCUGACGCAGCGACGCCGCGUGAGUGAUGAAGGCCUUCGGGUUGUAAAACUCUUUUAUGGGGGAAGAGGAAGGACGGUACCCCAUGAAUAAGCGUCGGCUAACUACGUGCCAGCAGCCGCGGUAAAACGUAGGACGCAAGCGUUAUCCGGAUUUACUGGGCGUAAAGAGCGUUGAGGCGGUUCCGUAAGUUGGGCGUGAAAGCCCUCGGCUUAACUGAGGGACGCCGUCCAAUACUGCAGGACUUGAGGGCAGCAGAGGGAGGUGGAAUUCCCGGUGUAGCGGUGAAAUGCGUAGAGAUCGGGAGGAACACCAGUGGCGAAGGCGGCCUCCUGGGCUGCUUCUGACGCUGAAUGCGAAAGCUAGGGUAGCGAACGGGAUUAGAAACCCCGGUAGUCCUAGCUGUAAACGAUGGAUGCUAGGUGUAGGAGGUAUAGAUCCCUUCUGUGCCGAAGCUAACGCGAUAAGCAUCCCGCCUGGGGACUACGGCCGCAAGGCUAAAACUCAAACGAAUUGACGGGGGCCCGCACAAGCAGCGGAGCGUGUGGUUUAAUUCGAUGCUACACGAAGAACCUUACCUGGGUUUGACAUGUAGGUAGUAGUGAAGCGAAAGCGGAACGACCCUUCGGGGAGCCUACACAGGUGCUGCAUGGCUGUCGUCAGCUCGUGCCGUGAGGUGUCGGGUUAAGUCCCGUAACGAGCGCAACCCCUGUCCU